rnacentral:rRNA from 1 species
GACGAACGCUGGCGGCGUGCUUAACACAUGCAAGUCGAACGGAGUGGCGAACGGGUGAGUAACACGUGGGUGAUCUGCCUUGCAAUUCGGGAUAAGCUUGGGAGACUGGGUCUAAUACCGGAUAGUGCAAGAUGAGCUCGCGGCCGAUCAGCUUGUUGGUGGGGGAAUGGCCUACCAAGGCGUCGACGGGUAGCCGGCCUGAGAGGGUGUACGGCCACCUUGGGCCUGAGAUACGGCCCAGACUCCGACGGGAGGCAGCAGUGGGGAAUAUUGCACAAUGGGCGGAAGCCUGAUGCAGCGACGCCGCGUGGGUGAUGAAGGCCUUCGUGUUGUAAACUCCUUUCGACAGGGACGCGGUACCUGGAUAAGAAGCACCGGCUAACUACGUGCCAGCAGCCGCGGUAAUUC